AGAUGCCACUUGAUUUUGUUCCACAGACUUUUUGCUGAGGACUUGAGAGCUAAGGUUCUGUGAUCCAGAACUAGUUCCAGACUUACUCUUCUGGAAAUGAACAGGGCCCUCCUGUGCUUAUUUUUCCAGGAUACUGCAUUGGAAAUUGAGUCAGGGACCCAUUGGUGAGAAGAGAACAGUGAACAGAAUCACAUUGAUCUGGUCCUGGAGUUUGUCUGACAAUUUCUACUUGACCGCAGGAGGUCUGAAGAUUGGAAGGGGCCCUACUCAAUUGUGCUAUUUUUCUCUCUUUUUUUUUUUUUUGAGACGGAGUUGCCCAGGCUGGAGUGCAGCGGCAUGGUCUCAGCUCACUGCAACCUCUGCCUCCCGGGUUCAAGCAGUUCUCUGCCUCAGCCUCCCAAGUAGCUGGGAUUACAGGUGCCUGCCACCAUUCCUGGCUAAUUUUUGUAUUUUCAGUAGAGACAGGGUUUCACCAUCUUGGCCUGGCUGAUCUUGAACUCCUGACCUCGUGAUCCACCGGCCUCAGCCUCCCAAAGUGCUGGGAUUACAGACGUGAGCCACCGUGCCCGGCCAAUCCUGCUAUUUCUCUACAGGACAAAGGGAUAUAUAAUCUGCAACAUGCCCUCCAUGUUGGAACGCAUUAGCAAAAAUUUGGUCAAAGAGAUUGGAAGCAAAGACCUGACACCUGUCAAAUACCUAUUGAGUGCCACCAAAUUACGUCAGUUUGUUAUAUUACGAAAGAAGAAGGAUUCUCGUUCAUCAUUUUGGGAACAAUCUGACUAUGUUCCAGUUGAAUUCUCCCUCAAUGACAUCCUGGAGCCAAGUUCUUCAGUCCUAGAAACUGUUGUGACAGGACCGUUCCACUUCAGUGACAUUAUGAUCCAGAAGCAUAAGGCUGACAUGGGUGUGAAUGUUGGUAUAGAAGUGAGUGUGUCAGGGGAGGCCUCUGUGGACCAUGGAUGCUCCCUCGAGUUUCAAAUUGUUACCAUCCCAUCACCAAACCUGGAAGACUUUCAAAAAAGGAAACUGUUGGAUCCAGAGCCAUCAUUUCUGAAGGAGUGCCGGAGGAGAGGGGACAACCUGUACGUGGUGACAGAGGCUGUUGAACUGAUCAACAAUACUGUGCUGUACGAUAGCAGUAGUGUGAAUAUUUUAGGGAAAAUUGCUCUUUGGAUUACCUAUGGCAAGGGUCAAGGCCAAGGAGAGAGUCUCAGAGUGAAGAAGAAGGCGCUGACUCUUCAGAAAGGCAUGGUGAUGGCUUAUAAGAGAAAGCAGCUGGUUAUCAAGGAGAAAGCCAUUCUCAUCUCAGAUGAUGAUGAACAGAGAACCUUUCAAGAUGAGUACGAAAUUUCCGAAAUGGUAGGCUACUGUGCUGCGAGGAGUGAGGGGUUGCUACCAUCAUUUCAUACCAUCUCUCCAACCCUCUUCAAUGCCUCAUCCAAUGAUAUGAAGUUAAAACCAGAGCUAUUUCUGACACAGCAAUUUUUGAGCGGGCAUUUGCCAAAAUACGAACAAGUUCACAUCCUCCCAGUAGGAAGAAUAGAGGAACCCUUCUGGCAAAAUUUCAAGCAUCUACAAGAGGAGGUUUUCCAGAAAAUAAAGACACUGGCUCAGCUCUCAAAGGAUGUUCAGGAUGUCAUGUUCUACAGUAUCCUGGCCAUGCUCAGAGACAGAGGGGCUCUACAGGACCUGAUGAACAUGCUGGAAUUGGACAGCUCAGGUCAUUUGGAUGGCCCUGGUGGUGCCAUCCUAAAGAAACUUCAACAGGAUUCAAACCAUGCAUGGUUUAACCCAAAGGACCCCAUUCUUUAUCUCCUUGAAGCCAUAAUGGUGCUGAGUGACUUCCAACACGAUUUGCUGGCCUGUUCCAUGGAGAAGAGGAUCCUGCUUCAGCAACAGGAGCUGGGUAUGACCAGCAUGUUACUCCUGGUCCGCUGGAUCCCAAAGCUCUUGCUCCUUUUAUUAUCCUGCAUGGCCCCUGGAUACUGGGGCAGAAGCCUUCUCUUCCUCAUCUUAAAGGCUGGUCUGUAGAACCUGAUCAUCUUUCUUCUAGGCUGAGAAUAUGGCAGAGCUUGUUUUGGUUCUUUCCAUCUGAUCACUUCAUCCUUCCAGGCACUGGGCAUCCAGAGUUAAAUAGAUGCAACCCCUGCUGUGGAGAAGCUUACAGUGCCGUGAGAGGAAGUGACAGAUAUACACUGAAUGCCUGCUAAGUGCCUGGCUCCAUUUUUGGACUGGAAAUGGCAAGUAUCUGGGCCAGGAAAGGACUUUAAAGUCAUUGAAUUCAGUAGUUCUCAAAUACAGACCCUCAAACUGGUGCUGCUCGGCGAUAUUUUCACUGCUUUACAGAAAAGUGAGGAAAAGAGAGUGAUGUUUGGAAAGCCAAGGUUAUGACUUUAAAGCAUUUCCUUUCUUCUGAGAUCAUGUUUUUCCUUUUCUUCCCUUCUGUUAAAAUGUGCUUUUUUUGAUUUUUGUUUUUGCAGAAUGACUGCAAUAGUGGAUGAUAAUUGAAUUAGUGGUAAUAUCCAUUGUUGGCAAAAAGUUGGCAACCCUCUGUAAUUCCUCUGACUUUUUUUGGUGGAGAAAAUUUGUAUUGGUCUGAGAAAUAGAAAAUCUGGAAUGCAUCCACAUCAACCAGUUUCAAUUCCUCUACACCUGAGCCCCUCCUCCAGCAGCAUCACCUUCCUAAACAGACACUAAGAGUCAUCAUUCCAAGGGCAAGGGAAUUCCCUUCCUAUCUUUAAAUUUAUUUUUAAAAUUUCUUCAUGUUAAUUACUAUUAUUUCCCUAUAAUUUCCAAUAUCAGGUCACUGUUCAUCCAUAUGAAUAUAUUGAUUGAUUGAUUACCUGAUUGACUUUUCAACCAAGUAGAACCAAUAAAAUUUAUUAAGCAUGACCUUAGUGCCAAGCAUCCUACCAGGACCUGGGGACACAAAGAUGAAGAUGGCAAAAUAGCCCUUCCUAUAUUUGAAGACAAAUUCUAUGCCCCCUCUCUUCUACUCCUCCCCUUCACUCCACAUUUCUCUGCAUCCAAUUAACCAUCUCUGAUCUUCAGCCCUUGAUAUGGUUUGGUUGUGUCCCCACCCAAAUCUCAUCUUGAAUUAUAGUUCCCAUAAUCCCCAUGUGUCAUGGGAGGUACCCAGUCGGAGGGAAUUUAAUCCUGGGGGUGGUUACCUUCAUGCUGUUCUCGUGAUAGUGAGUGAAUUCUCAUGAGAUCUGAUGCUUGGCACUUCUCCUGCUGCUGCCAUGUGAAGAAGGAAGAAGGACGUGUUUGCUUCCCCUUCUGGCAUGAUUGUAAGUUUCCUGAGGCCUCCCCAGCCAUGCUGAAUUGUGAGUCAAUUAAACCUCUUUCCUUUAUAAAUUA